rnacentral:lncRNA from 1 species
GUUUUCCAGAAUCUUUACUUAAUUUACUCUUCACAAUAACCUUUUUAUUAGGUUCUAUUAUUGUUACCCUUUUAUAGAUUUGGAGACUGAGCUGCAGAGAUGUUAAGAAACUGUCUUUACAUAACACAACUAUUAAGAAGAAGAAAGAAGAGGAGGAGGAAACGGAGGAGAACUGAGAAGAGAUAUUUCAUCACAGGGUACCUUCUAAAAUAAGAGACAAUAUAUGACUUCUGGGAAACGAAAAAAGAGGAAAACAAAACAAACACAUGCAACUGCCUGGAACAUUCUG